UCCGCCUGCCUCAGCCUCCCAGAGUGCUGGGAUUACAAGCGUGAGCCACUGCGCCCGGCCUCCUCUGGGUAAUUUUAAAGAUGCAUAUUGUUGGGCAUCAGACUAGUCCUGAUGAAUCACAUUUUCUGAAAUGUACCUCAGGAUUCGUAUUAUUAACGCACAUUCUCUCCCCCUCUAAUUUUAAUGUGUAAGGCAAACAUUAAGAACGGCUCUAAGUAGCUACGAGAAUGAUGGGAAACAAUUACGUGGUUCAUGGAACUAUGAAGGGAGAUCCUGUAAUCUUCAGCAAAGGCUCCUUGGAGCUGGGAAGGAAUGAGAUUUGCACCACUGUAAACCCUACAGUAUUUCCAGCCCAAGAAUAAGGAGGGAGAAGCUGAGCUGAGGGCUACAGACAACACCGUGUACAAACCACAGCAAAUUUAUUACUCAAGAUCCAGUGCCACAUUAUAGCACCACCCGAAGCCCUCACCUUCCCCCUCCCAACCUGGCCCCUAGAGUACACCCAAAACAGAAAAAAAAAA
rnacentral:lncRNA from 1 species